AACGGUCUAUACCUGCGGUACCUGCGGAAGGAUCAUUACUGAGUUUCACAACUCUCUAACCCUGUGUGAACUGAAGUCUGGUUGCUCAGGCAGGCGGCCCCCGGGGGGAGCCGCAGCUUCUCUGAAGCGCCUGCCGGAGGAUACCUAAACUCGUUUUAACAUAUAAUCUUCUGAGUAAUAAAAAAAAUGAAUCAAAACUUUCAACAAUGGAUCUCU
rnacentral:misc_RNA from 1 species